rnacentral:rRNA from 1 species
CCUACGGGAGGCAGCAGUAGGGAAUAUUGCUCAAUGGGGGAAACCCUGAAGCAGCAACGCCGCGUGGAGGAUGAAGGUUUUCGGAUUGUAAACUCCUUUUGUUAGAGAAGAUAAUGACGGUAUCUAACGAAUAAGCACCGGCUAACUCCGUGCCAGCAGCCGCGGUAAUACGGAGGGUGCAAGCGUUACUCGGAAUCACUGGGCGUAAAGAGCGCGUAGGCGGGAUAGCAAGUCAGAUGUGAAAUCCUAUGGCUUAACCAUAGAACUGCAUUUGAAACUGUUAGUCUAGAGUAUGGGAGGGGUAGGUGGAAUUCUUGGUGUAGGGGUAAAAUGCGUAGAGAUCAAGAGGAAUACUCAUUGCGAAGGCGACCUGCUAGAACAUAACUGACGCUGAUGCGCGAAAGCGUGGGGAGCAAACAGGAUUAGAUACCCUAGUAGUC